rnacentral:rRNA from 1 species
AGAGUUUGAUCCUGGCUCAGAACGAACGCUGGCGGCAGGCUUAACACAUGCAAGUCGAGCGCCCCGCAAGGGGAGCGGCAGACGGGUGAGUAACGCGUGGGAACGUGCCCUUUGGUUCGGAACAACUCCGGGAAACUGGAGCUAAUACCGGAUAAGCCCUUCGGGGGAAAGAUUUAUCGCCAAAGGAUCGGCCCGCGUCUGAUUAGCUAGUUGGUGGGGUAAUGGCCCACCAAGGCGACGAUCAGUAGCUGGUCUGAGAGGAUGAUCAGCCACACUGGGACUGAGACACGGCCCAGACUCCUACGGGAGGCAGCAGUGGGGAAUAUUGGACAAUGGGCGCAAGCCUGAUCCAGCCAUGCCGCGUGAGUGAUGAAGGCCUUAGGGUUGUAAAGCUCUUUUGUCCGGGAAGAUAAUGACUGUACCGGAAGAAUAAGCCCCGGCUAACUUCGUGCCAGCAGCCGCGGUAAUACGAAGGGGGCUAGCGUUGUUCGGAAUCACUGGGCGUAAAGCGCACGUAGGCGGACUUUUAAGUCAGAGGUGAAGGCCUGGAGCUCAACUCCAGAACUGCCUUUGAUACUGGGAGUCUCGAGUUCGGAAGAGGUUGGUGGAACUGCGAGUGUAGAGGUGAAAUUCGUAGAUAUUCGCAAGAACACCAGUGGCGAAGGCGGCCAACUGGUCCGAUACUGACGCUGAGGUGCGAAAGCGUGGGGGAGCAAACAGGAUUAGAUACCCUGGUAGUCCACGCCGUAACGAUGAAAUGCCAGCCGUUGGGGAGCUUGCUCUUCGUGGCGCACUAACGCUUUUAUCAUUCCGCUGGGGAGUACGGUCGCAGAUUAAACUUAAAGGAAUUG